GGAAGUAGAAGUGGGGCAAGGAGUUAGCGUCUCAGUUGCCAUGGAGACCAAGGGGCCGACGGCGGAGCUGAGCUCCUUAGAGUCUGGGACCUUCGAGUACGAGAGGCAAACAUGGGCGCCAGACUCACGACUGGCCAUGUCCAGAAGCCCCCCAAAGUCCCCCUUGUCGUCCUCCCGUGCCUACGUGGAGAGCUUCCAGUUCGGCUUCGCGACCCGGCCCAGUCGCGGGUGGUCGCGGGCGCUCCCGCCGCCACCCGAGCCGCAGCUGCUGCGUCUGCGCCCCUCCUCGCUGCGCACCCAGGACAUCUCGCACUUGCUCACCGGCGUCUUCCGCAACUUGUACUCUGCCGAGGUGAUCGGCGAGGAAGCGAGCGCCAGCUUCAUCAAGGCCCGCGGCAGCGAUAAUGCGCGCCACGAGCAGUUCGUGGACCAGUUGCAGCAGAUUCGGGAGCUCUAUAAGCAGCGACUGGAUGAGGUCAAAAUGUUGGAGAGACAUAUCAUUCAGGCCCAAGCACGGGCCCUGGCUGAAACAGAGCGGGCCAUGAACCAGGCCAAAGUGCAUGUCCUCGAGGCCGUCCAGUUGCCCCCAGUUAAGACUGUCUUCAGGUGGUGUGUAGACAGCGAGUUGUUGCGGAAACACCAUUUGAUCAGCCCAGAAGAUUACUACAGUGACACCGUGCCAUUUUGCUCGGCACCUAAAGGCAGUUCUAUCCCUGGAUAUUCAAAACUGACAUUCAGUAGUCAGAAGCGUUUCAGCCCCAAAGGAGCAUUGGGCAAGAAGCUUGCAGUGCCCUACAAGGAGAAGCUUGGAGACGAGUUCGACUACACUGUGGACAGCCAGGAAUGGGAUUCAAUUCCUAAGGCCAAACAAACGACCAAAAAAACCAUCAAGAAACCAAGUCUACCGAAGAAUAAAAACUGGAUGAAACACUUACGCAUGCCCCAGAGAGAACUGGAGCGACUACUUCUUGCCAGAAUGGAGAAUCGAAACCACUUCCUGAGAAACCCUCGGUUUUUCCCUCCUAACACUCCACAUGGAGGCAAAUCUCUUAUUUUUCCUCCAAUUAAGCCAGAACUGAUGGGAGAACACCCGAGUGCAGAGCUGGAACAAAGCUGCAUGGAUGCUCCAGUGUUUCUUGCUAAACCAUCAAUUGGGUUUUUCACAGAUUAUGAAAUUGGACCAGUUUAUGAGAUGGUCAUCUCGCUGCAGAACACCACCUCUGCCAGCCGCUACCUGCGAGUCCUUCCGCCUUCUACCCCACACUUUGCUCUGGGAUUGGGGAUGUUCCCAGGAAAAGGUGGAAUGGUGGCUCCGGGCAUGACUUGCCAGUACACUAUACAGUUUAUCCCGGACUGUCUCGGGGAUUUUGAUGAUUUCAUUUUAGUCGAGACCCAGUCAACUCACACGCUCCUGAUCCCCCUGCAGGCCCGGAGGCCGCCCCCCGUGCUGACCUUGUCGCCAGUGUUGGACUGUGGUUACUGCCUCAUUGGAGGAAUAAAGGUAACCAGAUUCAUCUGCAAAAAUGUGGGCUUCAGCGCUGGCAAAUUCUGCAUUAUGCCCAAAAAGAGUUGGCCACCACCAAGUUUCAGGGCGGUUGCAACUUCCGGCUUUGUUGAGCAGCCUCCCUUUGGAGUCAUGCCAUCCGUGUUUGAGCUGGCCCCAGGCUUUGCUGUGUUAAUAGAGGUCUUGUUCCUCCCAAUGAGCCUGGAAAAGGUGGAGCAGACCUUCAUCAUCGUGUGUGACAACUGCCAAGUCAGGGAGCUGGUGAUCACAGGAAGGGGGCAGCUGAUCGCUUUGGAUCUGAUCUAUGUUUCUGGUGAAAAAAGUCAACCGGACCCUGGAGAGCUCACAGACUUAACGGCCCAGCACUUCAUACGCUUCAAGCCUGAAAACAUUCGAUCCACAGCAAGGAAACAGCUGAUUAUCCGAAAUGCUACACACGUGGAGCUGGCUUUCCACUGGCAGAUCAUGAAGCCCAACCUGCAGCCCCUAAUGCCUGGAGAAACCUACAGCAUGGACAGCAUCAAGUACCACCCUGACAGGGAGACUGCCUUCUCCAUCAUACCCGAGAAGGGGGUUCUGAGCCCCCACAACAACCAAGAAUUCAUCCUGAGCUUUUCUCCUUAUAAGCUGAGGAACUACCACAGUGUGCUGCAGAUGGUGCUGGAAGAAGUUCCUGAGCCCUUGAAUUCAGAGGUGAAUAAUCUGGAGGACUACACAUACUCUGUGGAUGACGUGAUUGUCAUGGAAAUUGAGGUGAAAGGCUCAGCGGAACCCUUCCAAGUUCUCUUAGAACCCUACGCCCUCAUCAUCCCAGGGGAGAACUACAUUGGCAUAAAUGUGAAGAAGGAUUUUAAGAUGUGGAACAACAGCAAGUCACCCAUCAGGUACACGUGGGGGAAGAUCAGCCAUUGCCACAUCAUUGAAGUAGAACCCUGCACAGGGGUCAUAGAGCCCAACGAGGUUGGGGAUUUUGAGUUGAACUUUACCGGGGGUGUCCCUGGCCCAGCAAGCCAGGACCUGCUGUGCGAGAUCAGAGACUCACCCUCGCCAGUGGUGUUACACAUCGAGGCUGCCUUUAAGGGGCCUGCACUGGUCAUCAGCGUCUCGGCCCUUCGGUUUGGACUGCUCCGCCUGGGGCAGAAAGUCUCGAAGUCCAUCCAGAUCCGGAACAUCAGCCAGCUCUCAGCCAUGUGGCACAUGAGAGAGAGUCCUGUCUGCCUAGAAGAAAGGCAUGAAGAUGCAUCUCCCUUGGACAUUGAGCCUUCAAGUGGUUACCUUUACCCUCUGGGGGAGUGCCAGGUGACUGUCACCUUGGAGGCCUUGCACUGUCAGCGUCUGCAGACUGUACUAGAGCUGGAAGUGGAAAAAGGGACCUGGAGCUACCUUCCUGUGUAUGCUGAGGUACAGGAGCCCCACGUAUACCUGAAGAGCAGCCAGGUGGAGGUCAGCAACCUCUACAUGGGGGUGUCCACAAAGUCAACCAUCACGCUCGUCAACGGCACACUCCUGUUCACGCGGUUUCACUGGGGCAAGCUCUUAGGGCACCAAGCAGCCUUCUGCACAGCAACAGUCUCUCCCAAACGUGGCCUGCUGGGCCCCAGUGAGGAGCGCCUGCUCAACUUGGAGUUGACCGUGCAUACCACGGAAGAAUUGACAGAUCUGGCUCUUCCUUGUUAUGUGUCAGGAAUGAAAAAGCCACUGGUCUUAGGUAUCUCUGGGAAGCCCCAGGGACUGGAAGUGACCAUCACGGUCUCCGUGGAGGGUUCUGAUAUCAGGACAAAGCAGUGGCCGGGCCACCUGGAGGAGCUCCACCUAGACUUUGGAUCAAUGGUGCCACUGAGGACCCGUGUGAAUGGCCAGAUCAUUCUGACCAAUUGCUCCCCAAUGCAGACCUCUUUCACUCUCAAUUUUGACUACUUUGGGAGCCCCCCAAACAGCCUGAGCAAAAGCAUCAGCCUCCCCGACUUGCCUCCUGCCCUGCUAAAGUCGGCGCGGAUCCGAGAGCACUUGACCAAAAAAGAGCAGCUGGAUUUUAUGGAAAGCAUGUUAUCUUAUGGGAGAGGAGUUGCAUUCUUCCCCCACACUUCCAAGGGUGUGUUGGAGGCUUUCCAGCAGCUGAGCAUUGACAUCACAGGCUGUGCCAACAUGUGGGGCGAGUACUGGGACAGCCUUAUUUGCAAGGUGGGAGACCUGCCACCAGCAGUCAUCCCAGUGCACAUGGCAGUGGUGGGCUGCCCCAUCAGCUCCCAGCGGACCACCUCUUACAUGGCUGACAAGUCACAGAAGGAGCCCAUCAUCAGGUUUGGGACCCAGGUCUCUGGAGGAGACACAAUCACACGGAAACUUCGCCUGAAUAACUCCAGCCCCUGUGACAUUCGCCUAGACUGGGUCACCUAUGUUCCAGAAGAUAAGGAGGAUAAGCUGGUGGACCUGCUAGUGUUUUAUGGACCACCAUUCCCACUGCGGGAUCAAGCUGGAAAUGAGAUUGUGUACCCUGAGACCCCCGAGAGCAGCAGCUUACCCUGGUCCCCAAGCCCCUCCAGCAUGUCCGAGUCCAGCCAUGCAGCUGCUUUUCCAGUAGAGGCCUACUCCAAUGCCAGCAACAGGGCUGCAGCACAGAUCAUCUCAGUUGUCCUGCAGGAGCAUGAGGGGGUGCCCUCCGACCUCCCCUACUGUAUCAGACCCCAGCAGGUGGUGGUCCCUGCUGGGGGAAGUAGCACCAUCUACAUCUCCUUCACACCUCCGGUGCUCAGCUCCGACAUCCAGCAGAAGGUGGAGUGUACUGGCUACGCCCUGGGUUUCAUGAGCUUGGACAAUGAGGUAGAAAGAGAGAUUCCCGGGAGGAGGCGUCGACUGCAGCACUUUGCUGUGGAACCCCUGAGACUGGACCUGCAUGGGCACGUGAGGCGUGCGCAACUAAGCGUGGAGCUGGACAGCAGCGGCAACUUGGAGUUCUGGUGCCAGGCCAGCGACCUCAUCCCCGAGCAGCCCUGCUCUGCAGUGCUGAGUGAGCUGCUGACCACCCGCCACCUGAAGCUGAUCAACACUACAGAAAUACCACAGUACUUCUGGCUUCUGGUCUCCAGGCCCUUCUUUGUUUCUCAAGGCCAGGCUCCUUGGGACCACAGAGCUGGCUCUGGCCAGGAGCACGAGUCUGAGGAGACAGCUGCAGGGAGCAAGCAGAUGGAGCUCCGGCCACAGGAGAACAUGCUGGUGGAUGUGUCCUUCUCACUCUCCCUGGAGCUGCUCUCCUACCAGAAGCUCCCGACCGACCAGAUGCUACCUGGAGUGGAUAUCCAGCAGAGCACAAGUGGAGAGAAAGAGAUGGUGUUUACUCAGGAUCUGCUCCUGGAGUUCACCAAUCAGACCACACAGGUUGUGCCCCUGCGGGCCAUUGUGACUGUGCCUGAGCUGCAGCUGUCCAGCAGCUGGGUGGACUUUGGAACCUGCUUUGUGAACCAGCAGACAUCCCGGGAGAUCUACCUGAUGAACCUCAGCAGCUGCCGGAGCUACUGGGCUGUGCUGAUGGGUCAUCAGAGUGCCACCAAGGAGGCUAAAGACUUUGUUGUCUCCCCAAGCAGUGGGUUGCUGGAGGCACGACCCACCAAUGCGCCCCCAACCUCCAUCACACUUGAGGUGUUCUUCACUCCCAGGAGCAAUGAGCUGUAUGAAUCCACGAUGGUGGUCGAAGGCAUGCUGGGAGAGAAGUCCUGUGCCCUGCGGCUCCGGGGCCAAGGCUCUUACGAUGAGACAUUCAUGGAAACUCACCAGCUCUGAGGCUCACCCCACCCCUUAGCCCCAGACUUAGCUUAAGGAACGAGAUGGCACAGGUUGAUGAACAGGCCUCAGCUUUACGUCCUGGAGAACUGCGGUCAAGACGGCAGACAGAAGCUCAUCUUGGGUGGUGUCCUGCAGAGGCAGGUAAAGCUGCGGUGAGCUUGGCUUGUGAUACCUCACGCAGAAAAAGCGACUGCAGCUCACCUGCCGACUGCUUCCGGCCCCCGCCCCCAGGAAAAUAUGACGGAACCCGAGACCCAGCGUCUCACCCCAGGGGCCAACCCCCGGGGGCCUCACCUUGAAGACGCGGCGGCUCGCUUUGCCAAGGGCCGUGCGCCGUCCGUGCACCACCACCACGUCCUCGGCCGAGGCUUGCCUGAAGUUACCAAAGCGGCCUGUAGCGCGGGACCCGACUCGGGCCGGUCGGUGAGGUGGUCCUGAACUACCUGCAGCCUCAAAUUCACGCCGCUGAGACCCGCAGAGCAGUUUGAAAUCGGCGCGCAGUUGGAAUCAAACCCUCUGCACCUCGGAGCGCAAGUUCCACUCAGUCUUGGAAGCCCCAACACCGCCCACAGCCCGCCCUCCAAAGGUUCCGCCCACCCAAUCUCAGCCAACCAGAAGGAGCGUAACUUGAGGACACGCCCACCCCAGCCACUCUUACCUCAGACCCCAAACGUACCGCGCGGGGCCGUUCUUACCUCUCACAAAGUCCGGGCCUCCGUGGGCUACCCAGACCAAUCAAGAAGCGGUUCUUUCUGGAGUCCCGCCCACAAAGGCAGAUGGGAAAUCAUUCUACCUUUCCAAGUUUUGGAGACAAAAUCCAGGCUGGUUCCCAAAGUCUUGCACAUAAACUGGGCCUCAACCAGAAGCCCCUUCCUUCAAAAUCCUACACCCUGCCUGCUGCCAGACAGAAGGCUGGACCACCUGGAGUCCCUUCCUUGGCCUUUCUUUGGAAGGAGGAGUUCGGGACUCUUAAUUCCUGUUCCCCAUCCUAGUCUGUUCUGUUCUGUCGCGUGUCCUGGCACCCAAUCUGGAGACUCUACAUACUCUUCAUAUUUCCAGCUCACCUCCGAAGAAGUCAAUUUCUUCCGGCAAGUCUUUUUAGAAGAACCAAGCAAUUUGAUUCCCAGUUAUCACGGAGAGUGAAUUUACAAAGCUGUGGAAGUUUAGCAAGCUCUUUAACUGGACAGAGAACAUGCCACACUUCUUAGAACAAUGUCACACCUGUUUGUGAUGAUUCAAUUGGUUAUCACCUUCCCCGUUAGGAAGCAGAGAAGAAGCUGUGUCCUGGGAUCCUGAAAUGUGUUUGACGUUUAGUACGUCAUCAAUAUAUAUCUGAGGAAUGAGAGAAUUAUCCAGGGCU